rnacentral:rRNA from 1 species
AUUGGGCGUAAGCGCGCGCAGGUGGUUUCUUAAGUCUGAUGUGAAAGCCCACCCAUUAACCGUGGAGGGUCAUUGGAAGCUGGGAGACUUGUUCCCUUAAGAGGAAAGUGGUGUUCUUUGUGGUGUAGCGGUGUGAUGCGUAGAAAUAUGGAGGAACACCAGUGGCUAUUUCUACUUUCUGGUCUGUAACUGACGCUGAGGCGCGAAAGGGGGGGGAGCAAACAUGAUUAGAUACCCUGGUAGUCCACGCCGUGUACGAUGAGUGCUAAGUGUUGGACGGUUUCCGCCCUUUAGUGCUGAAGUUAACGCAUUAGGCGCUCCGCCGGGGGAGAAC